GAAGAUUUGAAGUGACUAACGACCUGUUUUCACACCUUUUGAUAAGAGGCCGGCAAGAAGUCUUUUGGAAUGCUGGCUUUGUGAGUAAUAAGUGAAUAUUAGAAUGAAAGAAUUUGGUGUGUUACCAUCACCUUUGACCCACUUGAUUGUGCCCCUUUAUUUCCAAUAUAUCUUUUGUUGAUUUCACAGGGAUAUUAAAUAUUUAUUAAAAGAAUAUCUGAAGUUCUAUUCAAAGCAAGAUCCUUUGUAGUCUUCCAAAGUGUUAAAGAAUUCAAUAACAGGUUUAACCUUUGCCAUAGAAUUAUCCAAACUUGAUAUAGUAGCCCCCUAGGAUUUAAGAACUCUCCUUAGAUUUAUUUUUUGAACGAUGCGCAUUUGCCUUUCCAUACAAAUCAAUGCAAUAUCCAGUAUGGAGCCAAAAAGCAUUCUACUCUAUAUUUCUUACUCCAGGCUCACAUCCAGUGGGAAUUAAGCCAUUAAGUAGACCAGUUUUCUUAGCUUGAUCUUUGUGCUCUUGACAUAGGAUGCUUCAUCGGUUGAUCUAGCACCAUACCCUUUUUCUGAAAAUCAUUCAUCCCCACUCUCU
rnacentral:lncRNA from 1 species